rnacentral:lncRNA from 1 species
GGGGGGGGAACAGGGAGGGGGAACAGGAGGAGGGGAGCAGGAGGAGGGGGGGACAGGAGGACGGGGCCUAAGGUCUCCCUGUCCUUGGAGCACCCCACCCACACCCCCGGGCUCACUCACAGCCUCUGCCUGCGGCCCCAGGAAGUGGGAGAGCCUGUCCCCCUCCACCCCCCCACCCCUGGCUGGGUCCCUCCUGAGUCUCGACAUGGGAAGGAGAUCGGGAACCAUCUUCCCAGAGGGACCUCCUGCAUUUCUCUGCCAGGGCCGGGGAUCGCCACUCUCCCCUAAGCUCAGAGUGAAAGGUGGAAAAGGUGGAGAGGGUUGGGGGUCUGGCACUGGGAGAGCCUCCCCCGGCUGGACCAGAUUUCGGGAACCGAGUGGAAAAGGUGAGGAGACCCCAGACCACGCCUUGUCCAGCUAACUCGCCCACGGGGGGGACCCAGUGCCCGGCAGAGGUGCCGGCCCCUAGUCCUGGCCCUGUCAUUAAGGAGCCGUGACCCGCAGCCCAUCACCGCCCUCUGGGUCUCCCCCCCAGGGCCUGGGGCCAGCGCCGUCCUGCUGGGGGCAAAGAGGAGGAGCCCCCGCUAGGGCCAGCGGUCCCAGGCCCGUGCCCCCCCCUCCAGCUGGCGCCACUCACCUCAUCCAUCUUCUCCGAGGCGGGCGUCCGCUCCCCGGCCAUCUCCUUGGCUGUGUCGGCCCCGAGGCCCAGAAGUCCAGCUGGGUCGGGGGGGCCGGGCUCUGGGGGGGGCCGGGGGCCCAGGCCCAGGUCCUCCUCGUCGUCUGAGUCCGGCAGGGGGGUCGGGCUGAUGUCCUCCAGGCCCGUGCUGGAGGGGCGCGAGGAGGGGGUCUGGCCCCGGAAGCCGGGCUGGGAGUUGGAGCCGAAGGUGGGCAGGGGCGAGAGCUGCGAGGAGGAGGAGGAGAUGGGGCUGCCCUCCAUGCGGAGCUCAGUGUCCGAGUCAUGUUCUCGCAGGAAAGGGAGCUUGGUUCUCUGCUCCUUCAGUAACAUCUCGAUGCGGGGAGUCCACGUGGGGGGCUUCGGAGGCGGGGGGAGGCCUCCCAGCGUGGGGCCCCGGGGCUGUUCGCCUGGGCCCAGGGCUCCCCGCCGGGCUCCAGGCUUCAGCCGGGGGGCCGGGGGGGCCGGUCCCGGGGGUCCGGGCCUCUCCUUGGGCCGGGGGGACCGGGGGGGGGUGGGCCCUAGUCCCCGGCAUCUCGGGCCCCCUGGGCAAAGGC